CCUGCAGCGACUGCGGAGGACAUUACCUAGAGUUGUAGGCUUUGCCUGCUAUCUCUUACCCAUGUCUUUUGAGUACCUUACGUUUCCUCGGUGGGUUCGCCCACCGAUUGGACAAAUUUAAACCCUUUGCAGUUGAAAUCAGCGUCUGAAAAAACUUAAUAGUUACAACUUUCAACAACGGAUCUCUUGGUUCUGGCAUCGAUGAAGAACGCAGCGAAAUGCGAUAAGUAGUGUGAAUUGCAGAAUUCAGUGAAUCAUCGAAUCUUUGAACGCACAUUGCGCCCCUUGGUAUUCCAUGGGGCAUGCCUGUUCGAGCGUCAUUUGUACCUUCAAGCUCUGCUUGGUGUUGGGUGUUUGUCUCCUGUAGACUCGCCUUAAAACAAUUGGCAGCCGGCGUAUUGAUUUCGGAGCGCAGUACAUCUCGCGCUUUGCACUCAUAACGACGACAUCCAAAAGUACAUUUUUACACUCUUGACCUCGGAUCAGGUAGGGAUACCCGCUGAACUUAAGCAUAUCAAUAAACCCGGAGGAAAA
rnacentral:rRNA from 1 species